rnacentral:tRNA from 1 species
UUCGAAAUUACUAAAAUUAGAGUAGCUCAUUCGUAAUGAGCAAGUCAGGGGUUCGAGCCCCCUUAUCGGCU